CUCUAUCUCCCUCAAAACAGACGCCCCACUCCCUUCUCCAUUUUCAGAAAACUUCCAAGCUCUUAUAUCUUUCAAGCAGAGGAAUGACGCACCAUUUUUGUGCAAAAAGAUCUCUCUAAUCUCAUUAUGUAUCUAAAUAUUUCAAAGUAUAUUCCUUUUCCUCUUUCUUGUUUGUGCUUGACAACUUCGAAAUCAAAUUGAAGCAGACCACAGCUUCGCCAAUUUGGGUAAGGACUGGAACAAAUCACGCCUUUUUGACCAAAUCAUGUGAUGUAUGCAAAGUCCGUCCAAGAAAGAUCAACGAUCAAAUUUAAAAAGUUCAUUUUGAAUGAAAAAUCAAAAAUCAAGAAUGCCGCCCAACUAACCCUAGAGAGCCCUAAUUCAUCUCCUAUAAAUACCAAACUUGGUGGAGAUUUUCAGCAAUUUUUGAACCCACAACCUUUUUAACAUUCUUCUCCGAGCCUCCUUCUCUGAUUUCUUACUCAUUGGAGCCACGCUUUAAGGGCUCGUUUUGGUCAGCCCCUACUGGUCUCGUUUAACCGAACUAGAGGUGGCGGCAUAAUCGUUUUGGAAUUUGACGAUCGUUCGAGGUUGCGGAGUAGAGGCCGGAGAUAGUAGACAUUGACGCGACCCCAGUUCCUGCACCGCAAAAGAGCAACCUGGAGUCUUAAUGCAAGACUCUUCCUACCCGCAUAGAGUUAUCACAAACUAUCUUUUUUAAUCGCAUUGGACAAGAAGAAAACAAGCAAAUUUGCUUGGGGUGGUCUAUGGCGGUUUUCAUUAUUCUUUACUUUCUUUGUCUAAAUUUCAUUAGUUUAUGUGAUUUAGUUUUGUGUGGAGUUUAUUUUAUUAUUGAUAAUUAAUUUUAUCAUGUAAAUUUACAACUG